rnacentral:rRNA from 1 species
UGGCUCAGGACGAACGCGGGCGGCGUGCCUAAUACAUGCAAGUUGAGCGCUGAAGGUUGGUACUUGUACCAACUGGAUGAGCAGCGAACGGGUGAGUAACGCGUGGGGAAUCUGCCUUUGAGCGGGGGACAACAUUUGGAAACGAAUGCUAAUACCGCAUAAAAACUUUAAACACAAGUUUUAAGUUUGAAAGAUGCAAUUGCAUCACUCAAAGAUGAUCCCGCGUUGUAUUAGCUAGUUGGUGAGGUAAAGGCUCACCAAGGCGAUGAUACAUAGCCGACCUGAGAGGGUGAUCGGCCACAUUGGGACUGAGACACGGCCCAAACUCCUACGGGAGGCAGCAGUAGGGAAUCUUCGGCAAUGGACGAAAGUCUGACCGAGCAACGCCGCGUGAGUGAAGAAGGUUUUCGGAUCGUAAAACUCUGUUGGUAGAGAAGAACGUUGGUGAGAGUGGAAAGCUCAUCAAGUGACGGUAACUACCCAGAAAGGGACGGCUAACUACGUGCCAGC